AACUAACGCUGGCGGCGUGCCUAACACAUGCAAGUCGUACGAGAAAGUCGGCUUCGGCUGAUGAGUAAAGUGGCGCACGGGUGAGUAACGCGUGGAUAAUCUGCCCCUGAGUUCGGAAUAACGUACCGAAAGGUGCGCUAAUACCGGAUAAUGCUGAGUGACUACUGUCGCUUAGCCAAAGAAGGCCUCUGUUUACAUGCUUUUGCUUUGGGAUGAGUUCGCGUACCAUUAGCUAGUUGGUAGGGUAAUGGCCUACCAAGGCGACGAUGGUUAGCUGGUCUGAGAGGAUGAUCAGCCACACUGGAACUGAGACACGGUCCAGACUCCUACGGGAGGCAGCAGUGAGGAAUAUUGCGCAAUGGGGGCAACCCUGACGCAGCAACGCCGCGUGAGUGAGGAAGGUUUUCGGACCGUAAAGCUCUGUCGAGCGGGAAGAAAUGCAUGGUGGCUAAUAUCCAUCAUGCUUGACGGUACCGCUAAAGGAAGCACCGGCUAACUCCGUGCCAGCAGCCGCGGUAAUACGGGGGGUGCAAGCGUUGUUCGGAAUUAUUGGGCGUAAAGAGCGUGUAGGCGGCUGAAUAAGUCAGAUGUGAAAUCCCUGGGCUUAACCCAGGACGUGCAUUUGAAACUAUUCAGCUUGAGUAAGGGAGAGGAAAGUGGAAUUCCUGGUGUAGAGGUGAAAUUCGUAGAUAUCAGGAGGAACACCGGUGGCGAAGGCGACUUUCUGGCCCUAUACUGACGCUGAGACGCGAGAGCGUGGGUAGCAAACA
rnacentral:rRNA from 1 species